rnacentral:rRNA from 1 species
AGCAAGGUUAACCGAAUAGGGGAGCCGGAGGGAAACCGAGUCUUAAUUGGGCGUUAAGUUGCAGGGUAUAGACCCGAAACCCGGUGAUCUAGCCAUGGGCAGGUUGAAGGUUGGGUAACACUAACUGGAGGACCGAACCGACUAAUGUUGAAAAAUUAGCGGAUGACCUGUGGCUGGGGGUGAAAGGCCAAUCAAACCGGGAGAUAGCUGGUUCUCCCCGAAAGCUAUUUAGGUAGCGCCUCGUGAAUUCAUCUCCGGGGGUAGAGCACUGUUUCGGCUAGGGGGCCAUCCCGGCUUACCAACCCGAUGCAAACUGCGAAUACCGGAGAAUGUUAUCACGGGAGACACACGGCGGGUGCUAACGUCCGUCGUGAAGAGGGAAACAACCCAGACCGCCAGCUAAGGUCCCAAAGUCAUGGUUAAGUGGGAAACGAUGUGGGAAGGCCCAGACAGCCAGGAUGUUGGCUUAGAAGCAGCCAUCAUUUAAAGAAAGCGUAAUAGCUCACUGGUCGAGUCGGCCUGCGCGGAAGAUGUAACGGGGCUAAACCAUGCACCGAAGCUGCGGCAGCGACACUCAGGUGUUGUUGGGUAGGGGAGCGUUCUGUAAGCCUGCGAAGGUGGCCUGUGAGGGUUGCUGGAGGUAUCAGAAGUGCGAAUGCUGACAUAAGUAACGAUAAAGCGGGUGAAAAGCCCGCUCGCCGGAAGACCAAGGGUUCCUGUCCAACGUUAAUCGGGGCAGGGUGAGUCGACCCCUAAGGCGAGGCCGAAAGGCGUAGUCGAUGGGAAACGGGUUAAUAUUCCCGUACUUGGUGUUACUGCGAAGGGGGGACGGAGAAGGCUAUGUUGGCCGGGCGACGGUUGUCCCGGUUUAAGCGUGUAGGUGUGUGUUCCAGGUAAAUCCGGUU